AAAAUAACUUAGUUAUCAUUCAGCUAGUGUCAGGAACAUAAAUUGUGACUUAGGUUUGGUGGAAGAUUUUAAUUCAAAACUUAUGAAAACAAGACAUUUGUACUCAGAGCCAGAGCUGCAGGUUGGUAACAUAAGGGUUAAAUGCUAGUGUUAAUGCUAGUACUCCACCCAUUGGUAUCUUUUGUGGAAUCCAGCUUGUAGCAAACAUUUGGAUCAGGUCUCCAGUCUAAGAAUAACCCAUGAGUUGUGUUGAUUUCUUCUAGAUUUGGCAGCCCAACCAAAUAAAUGAUGGGCUCAGUCCCUUGCCACCUCUGAUUAUGCCAUGACAAAAUUAAAAGAAAUUCCUCACCAUUUCGUUCUUGACAUUUGAAAUCUUUAAGAUAUUGGUUAAAAUAGAUUCUGUAUGCAACCCAAUGACUCACAGUUUUUCCUUUUUUUUUUUUUUGUUUUUUGAGGUUUACUAGUAAGUUUUUUUUUAUUUAUUCAUCUUCACCUAUUUCUCAUUCCAUUUUAUUCAUCAUCAUGAGACUGGAACAUUCCAAAAAAAAAUUAACUUUUUAAUGAUUUGUAGUUGUUGCUAGUUGAGUAUGAAAGUGUGUGUUGUGUUGUGUUAUCUAUCCAUUUGUUUUCCUUUUAAGACGAUCGACUGAGAAGGGAACAGUUGUCUGGCUGGUCCCAACAUGACUUCACUAUGAUUUGGAAAGUGUUGACAUCCAUGCCAUGCAUAUCACUUUAGUUUUGAGGGGUCAAUGCCAAAAAGUUGUGGUACUUUGAAACUAAAACUAUUUCACUACAUGGUCCUCAUUCAUGAAGGAUGAGGCGUAACAUUAGGCACCAUGCAGCAGCAGUCUGAGGAUUUGUAAUGAUUUGUGUCGUUCCUCUCAGAUCAUUUAGAUAUUGAAUAUUGCAUAGUGCUGAAUUUCACAUUGUCAAAGAGACAUCUGAAACAUAGUACUCUACUAGAAGCCAAAGGUGAUGUUCUUUUUGCGAUUGCCAGACUGAUUUGAAAUAGUACAGCCAGAUCUCCCUCAAACUACACUCUACCCAUUUUAAAUGACAUAUUGGACAAUGUGGUCCCUGGUAUAGAAUAAGAGAGGAUGGUCAUAGCUGGAACACCUUUGAUUGUGGGUCUGUUCAUUCAGGGUUAACUUGGGGCUACACAACAAUAUUAUUCUGUUAUUAAUCUGUUGUCAUCAUCAUCAUCAUUUUAAUGUUUACUUUUCCAUGCUUGCAUGGGUCAGACAGAAUUCAUUGAAGCAGGUUUUCUGUGUCUGGAAGCCCUUCCUGUUGCCAACCAUCACCUGUUUCCAAGUAAGGUAAUAUCUCUCCAUGGCCAGACAUGCUUUCAUGGAAGAUUGGAAACCGAAAACAUUGUCUGUAUGACAGAGAUGCUCAUUUGAAGUGUUACACUAUUCCUUAUUGUAAAUCAAUCAGUUCAGUAGAUUAUCCCAGUCAGGCUGAAAGUAUGUAUUGGGUCUCAUAAUUUUGUUUACCGUAAUCAUAUAAAUUCCAUGAAUCACUCCAUCAAUUUCACAUCAUCAAACCUAAAAGCCUUUCUCUUUUCUUUCCCAUCCCCAUCAUAUUUAUUUCUAGUUUUUAACAAAGGGUUGUAUUUCAGUAAUUCUUAAAAUCUGGGGUUUUUUAAUCAGAAAAUUAUUUUGAGACAAUUCACAUACUUAUGUGUAUUGUUUGUUUAGUUUUGUUUUCUUUUUUUAAUUAGAAAAUAUUUCUGUCAGAAAUAAAUCUUCAAAGGACUUAAUGAGCUAGCUUUCCCAUUUUAGACCAUUUUGUCUUUAUACAAUCACUUCCAUGCUUCCAUGAACACAAGAACCUCUUACGCAGUUGUUCAUCCAGCCAAAUUUUCCACUAAUGCUACGCUAUCAUUUCAGAAAAAGGAAAACACACAGAUUAGAUAAUGUCGUCCCAGGUUAAUACUUUGCAUCGUUUAAGUUAUAUAUAUUCAUUUUUGACGGAGGAACUUAAAAGUAGAUAAAGUUUUAAAUAAUAGUUUGUAAAUAACGGGUUAGAAAUAUUUAAUAUGUGUGGGUUUAUGUUAAAGAUUACAUUUGUCCCUUGUUCUUUUUCCCUGUUUAACUAUCUUCAAUUCUGAAUCUUGUAACUGAUGAAUAACAAACAAACAGACAUAUGUUUUCAGUCUUUGAAAAUACCAUAGAUUGACAUGGGACAAAGUGCUUACACUAUUUGUUCCAGCCCUUUAUGUUCUGGGUUCAAAUCCUGCCUAAUUCAGCUUAACCUUUCAUCCCUCUGGGGUUACUAAAAUAAAACACCAGUCAAAAAUUGUCCUCGGUUUAAUCAACUACCCCACCACUCUUGAAUUUCUGAUCAUGUGCCUAUAUUAUAAAUUCUUAUCAAUUAUUUGACAAGUAACAAAUAAAAACAACAGAGUUUCAAAUAUGAUUGUGGUCAGCUUUGCUUUUUAUCCUUCUGGGGUCAAUUUAAUAAGUAGGUGCUUAUAAAGUACUUGGCAUGAUUUAGCAGAUUCUACUUUUCUCUUAAAUAUAAUUAUUUAAUCAGUUGAAAUGCCAAAAUCAGUGGCACAUCCCAUUAUAUUCCAUGUUCAAAUCCCAUAAGAUUGUUUCUAUAUUAGAAAUCAGUUUUUAGUGUUUUGUCUAUCUUAGUGGUUUUUACUUUAUGCUUUGUUUUUAUAUAUAGUUUUUUUUUAAAUAUUUUAAUAGCUAAUAUGUAUUUUAUUGCUGCAGUUCUGUUCUUUCAUCAGAUAUUAAUUUAUUUCUUUAUUGCCCACAGGGGGCUAAACAUAGAGGGGACAAACAAGGACAGGUAAAGGGAUUAAACCGAUGAUAUCGACCCCAGUGUAUAACUGGUACUUAUUUAAUUGACCCUGAAAGGAUGAAAGGUAAAGUCGACCUUGGUGGAAUUUGAACUCAGAACAUAAUGGCAGAUGAAAUACCACUAAGCACUUUGCCUGGUGUGCUAACGAUUCUGCCAGCUUGCAGGCCUUUUCAUCAGAUAUUAAUGAUAUAACACAGUUUUAUUUAUUGAUGAGUUUUAUUACUCCUAAAUUGGUUCGAGUAAUGAAUCUAGUCAGGAUUUUUUGUUCUCUUCAUACACAAUAGCAAAAACCAUUGGUUACCUAUUUUGACUAUGUAUGCUUACUCUUUCACAUACAACAUCAGUCACAUUGUAUUUAACAUCUGCUAUAUAACUAAACUGUGUAGCAACGACCUCAUAAAUAAAGCAUCAAUCCAUGGGAUCCCAAGAUCAUAUUUCGUUCAUGUUAGUACUGGAUAUCUGUGCAGAAGAUCACAGAACCAUAGUUUGUUUUAAUCUGAGAGAACUGAGUUCAUAUGGAAGGACUGGUGAUGAGCUUUAAUUUACAACUUGGAAUUAUAAUUCAAGGAAAAUAUUCUCCAUCUGCUCUCCUAAAGCUCCUUGCUGUAUUUUGGUUUAUAUUGCGAAAGAUCUCUGACUGGAAUUCCAGAGAUCUUUUCAAGUGUUCUUAACUGAUGUCUUAAAAAUCCAGUUAUUUCAAGACAGUAGCCACUGUGGUGAUUGAUACACAACAGACCUUUGUCACAUUCUUCUGGUAGCUUGACAAUUUCUGAUCUGGUGCAGUAAAAAUAAUAACAAUAUACAUCUCUCUCUCUCUCUCUCUCUCUCUCUCUUUCUGUCUCUCUUCCUCUCUCCUCUCUCUUUUCAGAUCAACGUAAUUUGGACUGAGAUAAUGGACACAAAUAAAUUAAAUAAAAAUAUUAAAACCACCAAAAACAAAACUGUACAAUCAUUCUAUUCUUUUUCUAUGUAGAUUGGUCAAACAUCUACGUUCCAUGGCAUUGAGAGAAUAAAUUAUUUUUGUUUUGCAUGAA